GAUCGUCUUGCACGCCAUGGAAUCAAGCAUGACUCCGACUGCUCACCCUGCUCUCAGGAACCGAAGACCCUGCACCACCUCCUGGUGGGUUGCGCCUUCUCCAAGAUCACAUGUCACGAGAUCCUAUCCUGGUGUCGAGCGACUAUCACACCACCAGACGGAUCAACCACCUUCUUCACCUGGUGGUCUGACUCCAUCGACAGUUCCCCCGCAGGCCUACACAAAGGCAUCGGCACCAUCAUCAGCCUCACUGCAUGGCUCCUCUGGAAACAUCGCAAUGUUUGCGUCUUCGACGGCGCGCAUCCCUCCAAUGCGGUGCUUGCCCGCGACAUCAAACAAGAGGCCCAUCUAUGGGCGCGAGCUGGAGCCACCGGCCUGGCCAACAUACUCCAU
rnacentral:rRNA from 1 species